UAGUUUUCAUUAUAUUUCUGUUACACAAAAGUGUCAAUAAAUAUCUUUAUUAUCAUCCAAAAAGCCUGGAUAUGCAAGUGCUAUUCUCCUUUCCAUUUAUACUCAGCUGGAAUAACAGGGAGAUCUAAUAGUCAUAUGAAAAAUUUACAAUUAUGAGUCCUAAAAUGAUUAGGUAGUUUGUAUGUAGCUAAUAGGAACUGUGUUAUGCUUUAUGAUAAUUAGGUACUGGAUUGCUAUUUCUUUUAAAAAGGUGUACAAGUGUAAAAAUGAAAGUAUAUCCAUUUUCUUAGGAGGAGUUUCUGGAGUUGACACUGGAGUUGACUGAAACACACUGUUUCAUUGUGCUGGAGAAUUCUUGAUCUUUAGUCAAAAUCCAGAGGUACAUUCCUGGGAUAUCUGUUGGAAGAAUCUGUGAUAUGUAUUAAAUCUCACUGGUUUGCUUGCUUCUUUUUAGCAGUGACUUAAUUCUGGGCUUUUCAGGAAUAGUCAUCUGCUCCUAAAAUAGGCAACAGCUUUUAACCCCUAAUGAUUAUUGACCAGCUGACAUCUAUACUUUCUGUCUGUCCUCUUUGAAUGCAGAGUCAAAGUUCAUUUGAAGCAGUUGUUUUGCCUUUUUGCCUGUCUUGGUAUUUAGACUGCAGUAAAUCUGAGACUUUGAACCCCUUCUGGUAGAAGUUUGCACUUGCCAUGGGGACAUCUUGAUCUCAGGGAAUUUGUAGAUCAAAAAAACACUGUCACAGUCAGAGAUUUCCAUACAUUUCAACCUGUCUUUGACUUCUCUGUGUGCUUAGAAUAUCUUUAUGCCAUAACAACUUCCUUAUAAAAUAGAAUAUUUUGUAUUAUUGCCUCUCAAACACACAACUCCAGUGACUUUGUGAAGUAGGCUUAUUAACCAACACAAUAGUGUUGAAAAUUGAUGAUUGAAACAUAUUUCAGUUGUGUCUGAUGGACAAAAUUAGGAGGAGCCAUCCAAUAUACUUUUUGGCAGCCAAGCUUAUUAUCUGCAGUUUGACCUGAUAAAUCCUUACGAGGUAGGGCUUUGUCUUGUGGUGAGCUGGAUGUUGGUUGUUAAGGAGUGAUGGCUGUGCAGGUCUGCUGGGGGAGCUGUCUGGUCUGUGUUGUCACACCAGGGGGAAGGCACAUGCUGCACUGCAGGUUGCUGCAGUUUCCUCUGACGUUACAUUAAUCUGAGCCUGAUCAGUGUCUUAAAUACUAUCUAAUCACAGCAGUAGCUAAAUGGAUUUGUCCAAUCCAUUUGCAGGGGAUGGGCCCUGCAAGGACCCUCUGUGCUAUUGAAAAGAUAAUCAUUUAAUCUUGGUCCUGUGAGUCCAAAAUCAGUACAUGCUCAGAAGAAUCAAAGCCUUGUCAAUUAUCAGGCUAUCACAAUGUACUUUUGGAAGAUUUUUCAUGGCAGGACAAAAGAGAACACAACAGAUACCCAUAAAACUCUCAUAGAUGUUUUCAAGAACAAUUCUGGCUGCAUCAAACAGGCAGAACAAUGCUGGUUCUGUGUAAUGAACGGAUCUGCUCCUGAUUGGGAAUAUCUGCUCACCGA